rnacentral:rRNA from 1 species
UAGGGAAUCUUCGGCAAUGGACGAAAGUCUGACCGAGCAACGCCGCGUGAGUGAAGAAGGUUUUCGGAUCGUAAAACUCUGUUGGUAGAGAAGAACGUUGGUGAGAGUGGAAAGCUCAUCAAGUGACGGUAACUACCCAGAAAGGGACGGCUAACUACGUGCCAGCAGCCGCGGUAAUACGUAGGUCCCGAGCGUUGUCCGGAUUUAUUGGGCGUAAAGCGAGCGCAGGUGGUUUAUUAAGUCUGGUGUAAAAGGCAGUGGCUCAACCAUUGUAUGCAUUGGAAACUGGUAGACUUGAGUGCAGGAGAGGA